rnacentral:rRNA from 1 species
AACGUGAAGCAGGAGCUUGCUCCUGUGGAAAGUGGCAGACGGGUGAGUAACGCGUGGGAAUUUACCCAGUGGUUCGGAAUAACGCAUGGAAACGUGUGCUAAUACCGGAUACGCCCUCCGGGGGAAAGAUUUAUCGCCAUUGGAUGAGCCCGCGUCGGAUUAGCUUGUUGGUGAGGUAAAAGCUCACCAAGGCGACGAUCCGUAGCUGGUCUGAGAGGAUGAUCAGCCACACUGGGACUGAGACACGGCCCAGACUCCUACGGGAGGCAGCAGUGGGGAAUAUUGCGCAAUGGAGGAAACUCUGACGCAGCCAUGCCGCGUGAGUGAAGAAGGCCUUAGGGUUGUAAAACUCUUUCACCGGUGAAGAUAAUGACGGUAGCCGGAGAAGAAGCCCCGGCCAACUCCGUGCCAGCAGCCGCGGUAAUACGGAGGGGGCUAGCGUUGUUCGGAUUUACUGGGCGUAAAGCGCGCGUAGGCGGGCUGGUCAGUUGGGGGUGAAAUCCCGAGGCUCAACCUCGGAACUGCCCUCAAUACUGCCAGUCUUGAGUUCGAGAGAGGUG